GCUGUCAUCUAUCUUGUGAAGACUCUCCUACCCGGCCCAGGUUAUUGCAGUGAUAAGAAGUACAGGAUCAAAACAACUUAUUCGAGCAACUACUUCCUAGCUGUCAUCUAUCUUGUGAAGACUCUCCUACCCGGCCCAGGUUAUUGCAGUGAUAAGAAGUACAGGAUCAAAACAACUUAUUCGAGUAAUUACUUCCUAGCUGUCAUCUAUUUUGUGAAGACUAUAUAUCCUACCCUAGGUUAUCAGGUUUCAGUUCAAAGAAAUAGCGGAUCAAACCAACUCAUAUUCCAUCUUAACAGUCUCUAAAUCUU